rnacentral:rRNA from 1 species
GACGAACGCUGGCGGCGUGCCUAAUACAUGCAAGUCGAACGCUUCUUUCCUCCCGAGUGCUUGCACUCAAUUGGAAAGAGGAGUGGCGGACGGGUGAGUAACACGUGGGUAACCUACCCAUCAGAGGGGGAUAACACUUGGAAACAGGUGCUAAUACCGCAUAACAGUUUAUGCCGCAUGGCAUAAGAGUGAAAGGCGCUUUCGGGUGUCGCUGAUGGAUGGACCCGCGGUGCAUUAGCUAGGUGGUGAGGUAACGGCUCACCAAGGCCACGAUGCAUAGCCGACCUGAGAGGGUGAUCGGCCACACUGGGACUGAGACACGGCCCAGACUCCUACGGGAGGCAGCAGUAGGGAAUCUUCGGCAAUGGACGAAAGUCUGACCGAGCAACGCCGCGUGAGUGAAGAAGGUUUUCGGAUCGUAAACCUCUGUUGUUAGAGAAGAACAAGGACGUUAGUAACUGAACGUCCCCUGACGGUAUCUAACCAGAAAGCCACGGCUAACUACGUG